rnacentral:rRNA from 1 species
GAUGAACGCUGGCGGCGUGCCUAAUACAUGCAACUCGAGCGAACAGAUAAGGAGCUUGCUCCUUUGACGUUAGCGGCGGACGGGUGAGUAACACGUGGGUAACCUACCUAUAAGACUGGGAUAACUUCGGGAAACCGGAGCUAAUACCGGAUAAUAUUUCGAACCGCAUGGUUCGAUAGUGAAAGAUGGUUUUGCUAUCACUUAUAGAUGGACCCGCGCCGUAUUAGCUAGUUGGUAAGGUAACGGCUUACCAAGGCGACGAUACGUAGCCGACCUGAGAGGGUGAUCGGCCACACUAGAACUGGAACACGGUCCAGACUCCUGCGGGAGGCAGCAGUAGGGAAUCUUCCGCAAUGGGCGAAAGCCUGACGGAUCAACGCCGCGUGAGUGAUGAAGGUCUUCGGAUCGUAAAACUCUGUUAUUAGGGAAGAACAUACGUGUAAGUAACUGUGCACGUCUUGACGGUACCUAAUCAGAAAGCCACGGCUAACUACGUG